rnacentral:rRNA from 1 species
GGAACCSCCCGAAASKACYGUYGAUUUUUACACCCSACAMCAMUUUARRGCGACCCCCCUUUAUUUGGGGAGGGGGGUUCCCCCCCAAACYSUGGGGGGUUUCCCCCCGUUUUUUGGGGGGGUGACUCCCCCCCCAACAUSUUGGAUGGUUCCCCACAUUUUUUGYGGARGUGAUUCCCCCCMCAGCAUCUGAGGMKWUGGCCCAGAUCGUUUACCGUGAAAAAAUUAGAGUGUUCAAAGCAGGCAGAUCCAAUUCUCUGCCACCGAAUACAUUAGCAUGGGAUAAUGGAAUAGGACCCUGUCCUCCUAUUUUCAGUUGGUUUUGGCAGCGCGAGGACUAGGGUAAUGAUUAAUAGGGAUAGUUGGGGGCAUUAAUAUUUAAUUGUCAGAGGUGAAAUUCUUGGAUUUAUGAAAGAUUAACUUCUGCGAAAGCAUCUGCCAAGGAUGUUUUCAUUAAUCAAGAACGAAAGUUAGGGGAUCGAAGACGAUCAGAUACCGUCGUAGUCUUAMCCAUAAACGAUGCCGACCAGCGAUUAGGAGACGUUGAAUACAAAACMCCACCAUCGGCGCGGUCGUCCUUGRCCGGGUUCUCGUCMUUCRCGGSCCCCRGCACGSCGUGGGAGGUUMCCCAUAUUUUCCCCCGC